rnacentral:other from 1 species
CAUAAGCUGCUGUGUUGGUGACUGCCAACAAAGUUUUUUGAUCUUGCUUUGAAAAAACGGGAGCUAUCAACGUGUUUCGUGGUAGUAAACUGAGCUUGUACUCAGAAACGAAAGCAGAAACCAUUAGCACCCACCUGGUUAACCCCAGGUCAUAAACUGAGGUAAAACGGCACGGCAGUGUUUCC